UCUAACCGGAGCGUGAGUAAACGAGCCGAGUUUUUUUUUUCUCUCCGGCCUUUUCUCCACCGAAUCUUAUCUUCCCAUCCUGCGCGUCAUCAGCGCUGUGCCUCCGUCCCAAUCUUAUCCGCCGCCGCCGCCACCGUCAUCCGCUCGAGCUCUCCCUCCGCGCCGUGCUCCGCCUGUCGCCCCCCUCCACGCCCGGCGGCUGCUCCUCUUCGGCGUCCGGGGCGGGCUACCUCGACGACGACGCGGACGACGAGGAGACCACCCUCGCCUUUCCGCGUCCGCCCCUGGCUCCUCUGGCGCCGCCGCGGCUCCAGGCGGUUCCGCGCCGGGGACCGCCUCGUCGACCUGGCGUGGGACCUCUCGCACGCGCGGUUCGCGGUCCUCGGGAUUCUUCGCCGCCGUCGUCGACGGCGAGAUGGUCCUCGCGGCCGGCGACCUGCCCGACGCGGCCUACCGUAGGACCCGGGCCCGGCGCCCGUCCGGCCCGCGCCAGCGGCUUGUUUACUGGACUAGGUUCUUCAUCAUUCUCACUGCCUUCUCAAAUGCUCAGAUUGAUGCUAUCAGCUCCAAGAUGAGAGAUAUUGGUGAUAAGCAGUUUAGCAAAGUUGCAUCACCAAAUUCUUGGACUUUACUGGACUUUGUACUUGGUUCAUCGGACCCGCUUGAUGAUAAAUUGUGGUUAUUCCCAUCAAAAUUGUUCAGGGCACUGGAGCAGAGUGACAGGGAGACAAACUCAUAAGACACAGGCACAGGAGCAGAUUUAUUAGGCAAAUGAGCUUGUGAUCUAUAGCAGCAGCAAAGAGGUACCUGCCAGUUUCCAUGCCCAUGCUCGAGAUGAUUUUGUUAGAUUGAAAAUUGAUUUUUUCAGCGGUUCUGUUAUAAAAAGGAGCUUGCUAUGCCAACAUGAGAAAAAAGAUAUCACCAGAGCUACCAAUAACGGUGAAAGAUAUAGUAAAUGGUCGUUUCAUGUAACUAUAUGAGCAUAUUGUGAAAGUAUUUGCUCCAAAAUGUGAAUCUCCAUCAUACUGAAUGCUAUAGUACUGGUACAAUAUCGCUCUCCAAGAACUUUCCUCUUGAGAUAACAAAGGGCUACUUUUUUAAUUUGUUUUUACGAUGACAAAGUACUACUAUACUUAUAAAUACUGAUGUUCAGCUGUUUCUUUUUUUCCAUAUAUGCUACUCUCUCAACUAUACAUACCUGAAAGAACUGACAACCAUGGCCUUCUGACUUGUGUUGCAGAUGAGAUUGAACCAAACAUUGCUAGUCCUGAGGUACUCUUCACUAUGGUACCUCCAUGCCAAUGCUGGCAAAGCCAACCUCGUGCCUGGAUCUACUUGAGCUCAGAGGCAUCAACUACUAGGAAGUGACACUGCCCACAUGGAGCUAUUGAAUGUUUCCAUUUUCUGAUCCAUAGGGUUAGUCUCACCAGUUUACCAAAUAAGGUCCUGCUGGACAUAUAUGUGGCACACAUGCCUCCAUCUUGAUCUUCAUUGCUGAUGAUUACAGUCAAAAGAAAUACUGACGCAUAGUGCCUUCAUUGCCAUAUUUUUCCAUGUGUUCUGUUCCCAGGAUCAGUGUAUAUUGCUGUCUUUAGCCAUGCCAAUAUCUUAUAUAGACGUUUGAAUUUA